AGCGUAGACGGAGCAGCAAGUCUGAUGUGAAAGGCGGGGGCUCAGCCCCCGGACUGCAUUGGAAACUGUUGAUCUUGAGUACCGGAGAGGUAAGCGGAAUUCCUAGUGUAGCGGUGAAAUGCGUAGAUAUUAGGAGGAACACCAGUGGCGAAGGCGGCUUACUGGACGGUAACUGACGUUGAGGCUCGAAAGCGUGGGGAGCAAACA
rnacentral:rRNA from 1 species